UGGGGAAUAUUGGACAAUGGGCGCAAGCCUGAUCCAGCCAUGCCGCGUGAGUGAUGAAGGCCCUAGGGUUGUAAAGCCCUUUCGGCCGGGAAGAUAAUGACGGUACCCCAAGAAGAAGCCCCGGCUAACUUCGUGCCAGCAGCCGCGGUAAUACGAAGGGGGCUAGCGUUGUUCGGAUUUACUGGGCGUAAAGCGCGUGUAGGCGGGUCGUUAAGUUGGGGGUGAAAUCCCGAGGCUCAACCUCGGAACUGCCUUCAAAACUGGCGACCUGGAGCAAAGAAGAGGCGAGUGGAAUUGCGAGUGUAGAGGUGAAAUUCGUAGAUAUUCGCAGGAACACCAGUGGCGAAGGCGACUCGCUGGUCUUUUGCUGACGCUGAGACGCGAAAGCGUGGGGAGCAAACAGGAUUAGAUACCCCCGUAGUCC
rnacentral:rRNA from 1 species